rnacentral:rRNA from 1 species
UACGUAGGGGGCAAGCGUUGUCCGGAUUUAUUGGGCGUAAAGAGCGUGUAGGCGGCCAGACAGGUCCGUUGUGAAAACUAGAGGCUUAACCUCUAGACGUCGAUGGAAACCGUCUGGCUAGAGUCCGGAAGAGGAGAAUGGAAUUCCUGGUGUAGCGGUGAAAUGCGUAGAUAUCGAGAGGAACACCUGCGGCGAAGGCGGGUUGCUGGGCUGACACUGACGCUGAUGCGCGAAAGCCAGGGGAGCGAACGGG